rnacentral:rRNA from 1 species
UACCAGCUCUUCGAGUGGUGUGGAUGUUUAUUGGGCCUAAAGCAUCCGUAGCUGGCUGGGCAAGUCCCCUGUUAAAUCCACCGAUUUAAUCGUUGGAGUGCGGGGGAUACUGUUCGGCUAGGGGACGGGAGAGGCAGACGGUAUUUUCGGGGUAGGGGUGAAAUCCUAUAAUCCCGAGAAGACCACCAGUGGCGAAGGCUGUCUGCUAGAACGCGCCCGACGGUGAGGGAUGAAAGCUGGGGGGAGCGAACCGGAUUAGAUACCCGGGUAGUCCCAGCUGUAAACGAUGCAGGCUAGGUGUUUGGACGGCCACGUGCCGUUCUAGUGCCGCAGGGAAGCCGUUAAGCCUGCCGCCUGGGGAGUACGGCCGCAAGGCUGAAACUUAAAGGAAUUGGCGGGGAGCACCACAAGGGGUGAAGCUUGCGGUUU